GAGUUUGAUCCUGGCUCAGAUUGAACGCUGGCGGCAUGCCUUACACAUGCAAGUCGAACGGCAGCAUGAUCUAGCUUGCUAGAUUGAUGGCGAGUGGCGAACGGGUGAGUAAUACAUCGGAACGUGCCCUGUAGUGGGGGAUAACUAGUCGAAAGAUAGCUAAUACCGCAUACGACCUGAGGGUGAAAGUGGGGGACCGCAAGGCCUCAUGCUAUAGGAGCGGCCGAUGUCUGAUUAGCUAGUUGGUGGGGUAAAGGCCCACCAAGGCGACGAUCAGUAGCUGGUCUGAGAGGACGAUCAGCCACACUGGGACUGAGACACGGCCCAGACUCCUACGGGAGGCAGCAGUGGGGAAUUUUGGACAAUGGGCGAAAGCCUGAUCCAGCAAUGCCGCGUGUGUG
rnacentral:rRNA from 1 species